AGUAGUGAAGCGGAGCAGUGAAGCAGAGCAGUGAAGCGGAGCAGUUGGCUGAAGGAGAUCUGAGUUGUGAAUGUGAUCACAUUUUGUGACGAAAAUAUACAGUUAUGUUUCCCCAUGCAAGAAGGGAUCCGGAAGAGCCCCAAGGGCCUGAAAGCUCACAUGCGGUGGAAGAGCACAUUGUCAUUUAUGACUCAGAUGAUGAACCGGAUUUCUGUGUUUCAAUUCCGAGUGAUACUCAAGUGGAACAGAGUUCAUCAAGUGAUUCACCUGGAAGGAGAAGUCCCAUAGAACUGUUUGUACAUA